ACGGUUGGCUCAAUGCUGCCUAGU
rnacentral:siRNA from 1 species